rnacentral:tRNA from 2 species
UGCGGGGUAGAGCAGUUGGCAGCUCGUCGGGCUCAUAACCCGGAGGUCGCUGGUUCGAGUCCAGCCCCCGCUA